AAAAAAACAAAGGACGUGAAGCUUUACGAAAGAUGGCCAAGGAAAAUAACGAUAGCACAGUUAUCAAAAGGGGCAAAUAAUGAAACGGAACCUAAAUUUAAGCAUUGAACGUUUACUGAAAUUUCCUACUGAACAAAGAAAUCUGUGCCGAUGCCCCUGCAUGCAUAGGUACUCUUACGCACAGGCAGGUUUUUCUAUGAGUGAGAUAAAUUCAGAUAAUGAUUCGAUGUUGGUGAUAGAAGCGUCAAGUUGGUUCCAUUCUGCUAUUGCGAGCGUGAUGAAAGAUUACAUAAACGUGUCAUUUUUACAUACGUAUUCUGUCGUGUAGGUCGAGCCUGGAAAAAUGAAAUGUAUUUGGAGGUAUCUAUCCCUAUAGUUAUUUUUUAGCCGUUGAAACAAGAAUUUUAAGCGAGCGUGUUUCGCUAUUGUGGAUAGUGUUCGCAAGCCGGACUGGGUUAAAAGAUUUGUUGGCGAGUCUGUACGUUUAUAGUUGUUAUUGAUCAACCUCACAGCUUUUCUUUGUACUGAUUCUAGCUUGCUUAUGUUAGUCAGUGCAUGUCGAAACCAGACUGUGUUAGCGUAUUCGAGAACGGGCCUUACAAAUGAUGUGUAGGUUAGCAGCUUCGUUGAAGUGGUUGCGAGCGCCAGGCUUCGUUUUAAGAACUUAAUUUUAUAUAAACUUAAGUUGCAAACAAUUCGCUGUUAAAGCACGAUGUCCGAAAAGCUUACAGCGGCCAAAUAUGUGCUUGAUAGCAUUAACAGGGCAAGCAUGAAAUUUCGCGCCAACGCAGCAAAUUUCUUAUGGAGUUGUCUCUAAGAAUGGCAUCUGUUAUUAGGUCGAACAUUUAUGAAACGCCGGAAAGACUUAAGUGCCUAUAAGUUGUAAACAAAAUGCAAGAUUCAGUAAACUUCCCCUGCGAAAAAGCCUGCCAAACUGCGCUCAAAGGUAGCUGCAACGGCCCCUUCAAUCGCGCUAGGCAGUGAGCCAGCAAACAGUGCCCUACUACUUCCGUAGGGUGGAAUAGCUCGGUUACACAGCUUCGCCGUCUUUAAUUAUUCAGUUGCCAAAUUGACAUGCUCCUGCUAAGGUUUCGUACUGAGCUUUACCUAUAUGGUGCGAAAGAUGAAAACCGUGACGUGAUUUCGUGUCUGCUCGCCACUGCACGUGUAAUCGCAAAAGUGGUGUGGAAAAAGUGACACCACUCACCUACCUCGGCAACCGUCUGUAGGUGGCAAGCUGUCGGCGUUCGCUGUGGUUAAAGUGUUUAAAAACCCACGCACACAUGCACACUUAUACUUGAAGUUGGAUGUGCAAUACUGAAAACAUUCCUGAUGUUGCUGCUGCUACCUUUUCAGGGUGUUUGCUUGCCUCGUAGGCCCGCAGACGCACCAGGGCCAUACUUCGUCUGAUGAGAUGCAGGACAAUAGUUGGAUUGUCAGAACAGAUGGUAUCGUAAUAGCGGACGAAAGCUAAAAUGCCCGCGUACACUCGUUUCUGUGCGUGUUAUAAACAAGCAGGCGUUAAGGAUUAAUCCGCACGUCCAUAUUUUCUGCUUCAGCUGGUUUGGUCGUUACGGUGAGAAAUGCCUGCAAUAACUGAAAGCGGUAAAAUAAAAGAGGACACCCCAAGUUUACCGCAGGACCAGCAUGAAGAGCGCCAAGUUCAACUAUAAGCCUUACCAAGCAGAGAUGGUCAAAACAUUGUGAGCAUGUAUAUAGGCUACCGCAUUCGUUACCAGGCUGAGAAAAACUCCUGUACAUUAGUCCCGUCCGUUGCAACCUGCUUUCUCAUAAAGAUAAGCAGUGUUUUUUUACGUCUUGUCGGGCCUUUGGGCAGACGUGCCAGUAGAAUUACGAAGCUGCCUAUACGAAGAUGCUGAACGCACGUUCGUCACCAUCAUCAACUCUAUUCUGGUCUAACCGAAUUAUCUAAACGACAGAUUUCGCGUUCAGGACGUUAUUUCCUCCAGCGCCAAUUAUCUCAGCAACCGAGUUGCUAUAACAGUACGUGGUGUGACUGCGUGUGAUAUUAGACCUUUGGAUACACCGUUUAUAGACGACGGAGUGCAAAGGGCUUGCCGAAAAUUGCGUUUAAAAUCAUAGGCGAAGGCCUGAGCACUGCGAAGAGUAACUUUGUUCGGGCAUUUCUGAUACAGGGCAACGCGCAGUAAUACAGCGUAGUAUGUAACACGAACGUCACCUUGAAAUUCAUCUCUUUAGCACGGCAUUAACACAGGGAAUAGUAUAGAGGCGAACGC